rnacentral:tRNA from 2 species
GCCCCUAUCGUCUAGAGUGGUUUAGGACAUCUCUUUUUCAAGGAGAAAACAGGGAUUCAAAUUCCCUUAGGGGUU